UACGUAGGUGGCAAGCGUUUGUCCGGAAUUAUUGGGCGUAAAGCGCGCGCAGGCGGUCCUUUAAGUCUGAUGUGAAAGCCCACGGCUCAACCGUGGAGGGUCAUUGGAAACUGGGGGGACUUGAGUGCAGAAGAGGAAAGCGGGAAUUCCACGUGUAGCGGUGAAAUGCGUAGAGAUGUGGAGGAACACCAGUGGCGAAGGCGGCUUUCUGGUCUGUAACUGACGUGAGGCGCGAAAAGCGUGGGGGAGCAAACAGG
rnacentral:rRNA from 1 species